CAACGCUUAUCAACAAUACAGUGAGGUUUCGUAUUAUGGGCAUAUGUCCCCGAAUGGUACCAUGUAUAAUUCAAGGUGCCAAGAGUUUAUCUGCGCAGCGAAAGACACCAUCAUCUUCACUCAAAAGAUUCACCAAGAUUGUUGUAAAUAUAACACGACAUGGUACCAUCAUGCUCAACCACUUUAUAAAGAAGACUGCAUUGGUUACGUCUGCUGGAAUGGAACUUGGUUGCAAACUAACCACACUGAAUUAAGUUGUUGCGAUAUAUGGAACUCAAUUCAUCAGUAUGAAAACUUCUAUCACGACGAUGUAGACGAAAGCCUUUAUAAUUGGUGGUAUACUAAUAGUAGCUGGACUAACGCUUAUCAACAUUACAGUGAGGUUUCAUAUUAUGGGCUUAUGCCCCCAAAUGUUACCAUGUAUAAUUCAAGGUGCCAAGAGUUUAUCUGCGUAGCGAAAGACACCAUCA